rnacentral:rRNA from 1 species
UACGAAGGGGGCUAGCGUUGUUCGGAAUCACUGGGCGUAAAGGGCGCGUAGGCGGCCGAUCAAGUCGGGGGUGAAAUCCUGGAGCUCAACUCCAGAACUGCCUUUGAUACUGAAGAUCUUGAGUUCGGGAGAGGUGAGUGGAACUGCGAGUGUAGAGGUGAAAUUCGUAGAUAUUCGCAAGAACACCAGUGGCGAAGGCGG